GAUGAACGCUGGCGGCGUGCCUAAUACAUGCAAGUCGAGCGAACAGACGAGGAGCUUACUCCUCUGACGUUAGCGGCGGACGGGUGAGUAACACGUGGAUAACCUACCUAUAAGACUGGGAUAACUUCGGGAAACCGGAGCUAAUACCGGAUAACACGUUGAACCGCAUGGUUCAACAGUGAAAGACGGUCUUGCUGUCACUUAUAGAUGGAUCCGCGUCGCAUUAGCUAGUUGGUAAGGUAACGGCUUACCAAGGCAACGAUGCGUAGCCGACCUGAGAGGGUGAUCGGCCACACUGGAACUGAGACACGGUCCAGACUCCUACGGGAGGCAGCAGUAGGGAAUCUUCCGCAAUGGGCGAAAGCCUGACGGAGCAACGCCGCGUGAGUGAAGAAGGUCUUCGGAUCGUAAAACUCUGUUAUUAGGGAAGAACAAAUGUGUAAGUAACUAUGCACGUCUUGACGGUACCUAAUCAGAAAGCCACGGCUAACUACGUG
rnacentral:rRNA from 1 species